GCUGGUAUAUUUCAGAGGUGAGUGAGAAUAGUGUAUACCCUUGGAGGCUGUCCAGGGAGCCCCCUUCAGCCCCGAGUCUGCGGGUCAAGGAUCCUGGGGGUCCCUGGGAGUCCCGUCUUCUACUUUCUCCUGUCCACCAGGGCAGGUCAGGACUCAGCCCUCCAGCUCCGCCACAGCAGUCCUUCUGCAUGUGCCAAACAGUGACACCAGGGAUCAUAGCCUUGGGGGCCAAUGUCUGCUGUUUAUUUCCAAGUCAGUGGCACUAAGGAGCAGCCAGUCCCAGGACACCCAAUGCAGAGCAUCCUGCUUGAGCUCUGAGGCUUCCAGCCUAGGUACACCACUGUGUGCCAGGGAACCCCAGGCCAGACUUCAUGGAAAACGGCAAGGACCGGACCCUCAGCCUCUUGGAGCACUCCCGCCACUGGCAUGGGAAGAGCUAUAGCAGCAAGGAGUACCUGGAGCUGCACAGGAGAACUUCCUCCUCAUCCUCAGAUCUGCCUUUCCCACUGGAUCCUUGAGGGCCUGGCCCAGAGAUGGCAUCUCUCAGUAUUUGCUGAUUGAAUUGAAAAAUAACAUGUUUAUUGAAUAUUUAUGAGCCAAGGAUAUGCUAUACAUGAGCUCAUUUAAUCUUCACAAUGACCAUGUGAAAGAAGGCCUCUCUGCAGAGGUGACAUUUAGCAGUGACCUGCAUAAAGUGAGGGAACCGUGAGUGCAAAGGCCCCGAGGCGAGAGUCUGCCUGGGGGCCGGUGCGGCAGGAAGACAGUGAGCGAGGGGCAAUGAACUGAGAGCUGUUCUAGACGGAUGUGCUCACACUGGUGGGCCUUGUCCACUACAGGAAGGAUAUGUGGUUUUAUUAUCAAUGUGAUGGGAAACCACUGGAAGGUUUCUGAGCAGGAGAGUAAUACGGUUUGUUUGUUUAUUUAUUUAUUUAA